rnacentral:lncRNA from 1 species
UUAAAACCAAGUAACAUUGUAGUCAAGUCUGAUUGCACAUUGAAAAUCCUGGACUUUGGACUGGCCAGGACAGCAGGCACAAGCUUCAUGAUGACUCCAUAUGUGGUGACACGUUAUUACAGAGCCCCUGAGGUCAUCCUGGGGAUGGGCUACAAGGAGAACGGAGAGUAAAGAUAGAAGCAAAAAGUUGGGACUUCCUACCAACAACUGAGCAGUCAGAUAACCUCUCAAACUAUGACUAUCAGACACAAGGCUGAGGGCUGAUUCAAGUUAUUUAUCGGCAGAAGAAUUACACAAUUUUAAGCAUAUUGAAAUUAGUCUAACAUUUAUUGGAAGAAAUAUCAAAGCUAAGUAUAUGCUAAUUGAUACCUUGACUACUUCCAGGACUCUGCAGAAAUUUCAAAAAACAAUCAGAGGUUCUCAUGUCUUUCACCUAGAAUUAUUCAGAGUAAUUUAUAUUAAAUUACUUUGAGGCUGAAAAA